rnacentral:lncRNA from 1 species
GGGAGCAAAAAGGCAAGCAGAUUGCGGAGGAUAAUGCAGCAAUGGAGUAAUGGAAACAGCUGCUCGCUUUCUACUUCAGUGUCUGGCAUCUGCUGCGGCAUCAUGGGAAAGGCUGGUGAAGGAUUUGGGCAAGGAAUGUAAAUGGAGACAAUUGGCCAAAUGGAGUUUGAUGCGGAAAGGCUCAAUUGCUCUGUUCUAAAAUCAUGUUGUUCCCUUUGGGGAGCAGAAGCCAACAAUAUUACUGAACUCAAAUUCCACCUUCAAAGCAGUUGAAAGGUUUGGGAAUGUGAACUGCUUUGCAAUCAGUUAGUUCAGAUGUGAGACAAUAUAAAGGGAGAAAGCCUCGUUGUUGGAACAGCCUCCAUUUGUCCAAGUGUUCGGCUCAUCUUCCACAGAUCUUUGUGGAAAAGUUAAAUCGAGAGUCCUUUUUUUUUUUUUUCCUAUGGAACUCAUUUACUCUGAGAAAAAAAUGUUUCUUAAAUCACCACUGCUUACUUCUGAACUGGCUCAAGGGACAAUUUCUAUUUGUUGUGCCUAUUUUCCCCUUGGCUGCAAAGAUUUGGUUCUAAUUUCAUUUCCAUCACAAAAGAGCUGGCAAAGAACUAAAAGGCAGAAACACAUAACUGAAGUGCUGCUGUGCUAGUCAUAAGCCUAUAAUAAAGCACAGAUUUGAUAGCAUUAUCCAUGUACUGUGGUGAACCACACACAAAUAAACAGUUCUCCAUGAAGAAUGAAAACCCGAGGCUUCAACCCUUCCAAUUCAAACAUUAUUGUUGCUUUUAACAUGAGCCAUCCAUAAAUCAGCCAAGGAGGUGACAGGAAAUCCAAAAGUAAUCUGGUCUGGCUAUGCACACUUUGUUAAAAAAAAAGUUAAAAGAGAUGCUUUCCAGCUCAUCCUGAUGAUGUUCUAUGUGAAAAAUGGCUGCCAGGGAACCAGAUGUGCUUUCCUGAGAAACCAAACCAGGAGUUUUCUUUAAUCAAAAGGACGAACAGGGACUUCUAGGAGUUUAUGAAAGUGUGACCAAUUGGAACUUUGUCGUCUGUUGCUAAUUGAAGCAUAUAAAAGAGUCCAUUUCUUAAAACAUACUACCAACACUUUUUUUUUUUUUUAAUUCACUGCCACAUGACAAAAACCAGAAUCAAGUUGACUAGUAGAAGAUCAGUGCAACCAAAGACCGAGCUAUUAUUUCAAACUGUCAGGGGAAAGGCAGUAAAAUUGCUACCAGGUCUCCUUAAGUUACCCUUCAAUAAAAAGAAGCCAUCAGGGAAAUAAGAGGAAAAGAAAACACAUCAAAACCUUAAAAGUCCCUUUAAGUAAAAUUAUACGUCUAUGGCUCCAUGCCAUCUGCUCUGUGGUUAACAUAAUAAGCCAAUUCCACAACCUAAAUAUCUGCUUUCUAAAAUCUUUAAGGACAACGUGAAAUAUAAUCAAUAUAGUUUUAAACUCUAAAAACUUCAUUCACAUGGCAUGACUGGAAUAUGCCUAGAUGUCCCUGUGGGCACAUUUCUCUUAAGGUGCUAGUUGAGAAUGAGGAUUCUUAGGAGUUGCAAAAAGCUCAGUAGUUGUGCUAGAAGAGUCACAAUGAAUAAUAAACUGCGCUGGGAGGUGGGGAUGAGAAAGAAGAAAGAGUAGCUUUGAAAAACCAGCAGUCGUAUUUAUUCAUCACUUCAAACCCAUUUGUUUUAACAGAAACACCCUUCCCCCUUUGAGUUCUCUAUUACAACCAAAAUACAUAUUUUUUAAAUUCUCAUUUAGCUUCAUAGGGCAGUUCUUCUGGGUACUAGAGGAGAUCCACGCAGUUCAAGAGCCACUGACUUAUCAAAAUAUAACAUCUGCUUGGUAAUCUCUUUAAUUCUUCAGGCAAAACCCCGUCAUCUAUUUUAAUACAUUCCCAAAGGUAUUUCUAACCAAAAUUAAGCAGAUAUGCAAAACUUAGCUUUAGGAGCAAAGUACCAAUCUCCCCUUCUGGAUGCCCUUAGAGCACUCAAAAUAACAUUGCAAACAGCCUGAUGAUCAAUCCACUACGAAUUGUUUAACAGCCUUUCAUUCAGUUGCAAAGGCUUUGUUCCAACUGCCAAAACCUUUCGCUUAAAUUAAAAAGAAAGUACAACCAAGAGCAAGAAGUCACUAAAGAAACUUCAGCCAGGAGAGAGCACUGCACAGACAAAGAAGGGCUAAUUACCUUGCAGCAGAGUGGAACAGAAAAUCAACUGUGACUUUUUUAAAAGAACAAAGCCCAUGCUAACUAAAUGCUCCCAAUCCACUCCCAACCCAACAUCCACACAUGCAAUUAUAACAUGUAUAUACUCACACCUAUGAAAUAAAUAACAGGCACCAAAUACCAGUAAGAUCCCUGCAUGAGCCUGUAAGGAUGACUUAAGUCAUUCUUGGGACAGAAUUUCACUUGUUCACUUUCCCUAUAACCUUAAACGUACAGAUGAAGAGGGUAUUAUUAUUAUAUGACAAUAGUCCCAGUGGAGAAGCAUUAUUUCCACUCUGAUGUUGCUAAGGAUAGCCCAGAAUUCCCUUAGCUUCCAUGUUCUACAAGAAUACUACCCAAGUAACUUAGGAAUAAACUGUUUAGUAUUCAAGCAAAACCCUUGAUGUUCAGAUCACUGGCAAUCAAAACUAUGUUGUGCUACAGUAAUUACUAUGAAAAACUUCCAGUGCUUAAUAUUAAAGAAUAGAAUAACAUGAUCCUUCCACCUCUUCUACACCUCUAGAGUGUGUUCAACAUGGCAAUUAUCUCCGUUCAAGAAGCAGAGAGUUUAAACUGCAUUGAAACUCAAUUAUACCCAUGACUUUUUAAACAUACACUUCAAAAGGCAGGUUUCAUCACAUUCAAAUCGCUGCACGAAAUCUUUUCCCCAACUUAUAAAAUAUAGAUUUUUAUCCCUCUCCCGCGAGACCUCUUCCAGCAUAAAAGUGAUUUCUCUGUAGUUGUUGGACCCCCUUCUUUGUGUAUUAAAGUAGAGGGAUGACUGAGCUGGGGGCGAAAGACAAAAGAGAGAUCCCAUCUGAUAAAGGAACAGUGGGAUGUGUAGCCCUCCCAAACGUCACUGCCACACCGCCUGGCACUGCCACCCUUUUAAAGAGCCAGAUCACACACUUGUUAACAAAAAACACAUGACUUGGCUACUUUUAAGAAUGCAAAGGAACUAGGAGUAGUAGAUUUAUGAUUUAAGUGCUUGUGGCUAAAAUAGCUUUCCAAUUAUCAAGGGCCUCUUAGGAAGAGCAAGAAUGCAUUAUGUGUUAAUGACCACAACCAGGGGUCCCUUCUCCACUCUUUUGUCAGAACCGGGGCAGAUCCUCCCCGCAGCUUCACCAUUAACAUGUCUGUUUCCUGUCAGCCCACUCAGAGAUAAUGUCAUUUAUCUCCGAGGGGCACAAGCCCAGUCAUUAGCUUCUAUAAAAGACCUCAAACAAAGGCCGGGGAUAAUGUUUUACCCAGGGCUCUUACUAAAACCAGAACCCAGAAGCUUAGCAUCUAAAAGUCAAGGGCUCCAAAGUUAUCAUCCUUCAAAGAAUAUUUCCCUCAUUAUCAACAAUCUGAGACUCACAGCUCCGAACCAGAGCACGUCUGUGCAGAGCCAACAACCAGCCCAGGAUGCUACCACCUACAAUUAGAUUAACCGAUAAAGGCUGACCAGAGUUAGCCUGGGAGAGCCUCUGCCUCCCCCCUCCCUUGCCUCCAGGGGGAAAAUUGACAGA